rnacentral:rRNA from 1 species
GUCUACGGCCAUACCACCCUGAAUGUGCCCGGUCUCGUCUGAUCUUGGAAGCUAAGCAGGGUUGGACCUGGUUAGUACUUGGAUGGGAGACAAAUAAAAUUGUAGCUC